GACGAACGCUGGCGGCGUGCUUAACACAUGCAAGUCGAACGAAGUGGCGAACGGGUGAGUAACGCGUAAUCAACCUGCCCUUCAGAGGGGGACAACAGUUGGAAACGACUGCUAAUACCGCAUACUGAAGGAGGGGAUUGCGUAUGUUUAGGUAGUUGGUGGGGUAAUGGCCUACCAAGCAGACGAUCUCUAGCUGGUCUGAGAGGAUGACCAGCCACGCCGGGACUGAGACACGGCCCGGACUCCUACGGGAGGCAGCAGUGGGGAAUAUUGCGCAAUGGGGGCAACCCGGACGCAGCCAUGCCGCGUGUCUGAAGAAGGCCUUCGGGUUGUAAAGGACUUUUGUUAGGGAAGCGGUACCUAAAGAAUAAGCACCGGCUAACUACGUGCCAGCAGCCGCGGUAAUAC
rnacentral:rRNA from 1 species